CGAAAUAAGUGACCCUGGUAAUAUACGAUGGAGAACAAAAUGGAGAAGCUGAACAGGUCGCCAUUUUGUGGAAGACCAGAAAACAGGGGCACACCAUAUUGCAGCACUAUCGACCACAUUUAGUGAUGAUCCGAAUGACGUAACCCAAUCAAUCCAUCUCUGACAACAAACUGAAAAUUAAAACACCUGCUAUGCAGUGAAUAAAACUGAAAGUAUGAAAAGUGUGUCACUGCCAUACAACAUGAGAAGCCACGAG